rnacentral:rRNA from 1 species
GACGUAGGGCGCGAGCGUUGUCCGGAUUUAUUGGGCGUAAAGAGCUCGUAGGCGGCUCGUUGCGUCGGCUGUGAAAACCCGCAGCUCAACUGUGGGCUUGCAGCCGAUACGGGCGGGCUGGGAUUCGGUAGGGGGGGCUGGAAUUCCUGGUGUAGCGGUGAAAUGCGCAGAUAUCAGGAGGAACACCGGUGGCGAAGGCGGGUCUCUGGGCCGAUAUCGACGCUGAGGAGCGAAAGCGUGGGGAGCGAACAGG